UGGGGAAUAUUGGACAAUGGGGGAAACCCUGAUCCAGCAAUGCCGCGUGAGUGAUGAAGGUCUUUUGAUUGUAAAACUCUUUUGGCAGGGAGAACUAAGGAUAGUACCUGCAGAAUAAGCACCGGCAAACUCUGUGCCAGCAGCCGCGGUAAUACAGAGGGUGCUAGCGUUGUUCGGAAUUACUGGGCGUAAAGGGCGCGUAGGCGGUUUGUUAAGUCAUUUGUUAAAGCUCCGAGCUCAACUCGGAUAAUGCACGUGAUACUGGCAAGCUAGAGAAUGGUAGGGGAUAGUAGAAUUUCCAGUGUAGGGGUGAAAUCCUUAGAUAUUGGAAGGAAUACCGGUGGCGAAGGCGGCUAUCUGGGCCAUUUCUGACGCUGAGGCGCGAAAGCGUGGGGAGCAAACA
rnacentral:rRNA from 1 species